rnacentral:rRNA from 1 species
GAUGAACGCUGACAGAAUGCUUAACACAUGCAAGUCUUUGGCGAAGCUGUGCUUGCACAGCCUAGCCAAGGCGGACGGGUGAGUAACGCGUAAGGAACUUGCCCUGCAGUCAGGGAUAACAGACGGAAACGACUGAUAAGACCUGGUAAAGUCAGGCGGACUCAUGUCCAGCCUGAUGAAAAGAGAUGCUGCAGGAGAGCCUUGCGUCCUAUUAGCUUGUUGGUGGGGUAACGGCCCACCAAGGCGAUGAUAGGUAGCCGGCCUGAGAGGGUGGACGGCCACAAGGGGGCUGAGAUUCGGCCCUUACCCCUACGGGAGGCAGCAGGGGGGAAUAUUGGACAAUGGGGGCAACCCUGAUCCAGCAAUUCUGUGUGCACGAUGAAGGUUUUCGGAUUGUAAAGUGCUUUCAGCAGGGAAGAAAAAAAUGACGGUACCUGCAGAAGAAGCGACGGCUAAAUACGUG